UACAGAGGCCACAAGCGUUAAUCGGAAUCACUGGGCUUAAAGGGUGCGUAGGCGGUCCCGCAAGUGCUUUGUGAAAUCCCAUCGCUCAACGAUGGAAUGGCUCGGCAUACUGCGGGACUUGAGGUCGGUAGAGGUCGUCGGAACAGUAGGUGGAGCGGUGAAAUGCGUAGAUAUCUACUGGAACGCCAAAGGUGAAGACAUGCGACUGGGCCGAUUCUGACGCUGAGGCACGAAAGCGUGGGGAGCGAACGGG
rnacentral:rRNA from 1 species